ACUCUCGGCAACGGAUAUCU
rnacentral:rRNA from 1 species